rnacentral:rRNA from 1 species
CCUACGGGAGGCAGCAGUGGGGAAUCUUGCGCAAUGGGCGAAAGCCUGACGCAGCGACGCCGCGUGAGCGAUGAAGGCCUUCGGGUUGUAAAGCUCUGUGGGGAGAGAAGAAUAAGGAUACGCUAACACCGUACUCGAUGACGGUAUCUCCUUAGCAAGCACCGGCUAACUCUGUGCCAGCAGCCGCGGUAAU